ACUGCCUUCGCCUUCCUCCUUGAGUUCUUCAUCUCUCUGCAACUGCAACAAACAAUUAUUGAAGAGCACAGAUGAUAUAGAACUGCAAGAUUGAUUUCUUCUGACAAUAGGAACGAAGACCUUGCGAUCCGGAAGGUCUAAACCUUGUUUGAUGCGCCCGAGUCUUCGUGAAUAUAAGACCUGCUCCCUGGCAAUAGGCAGACGGAUGGAUUGAUAUUCUUGGAGAGCAGAAUUCAGAUUCUCAACUCCCCAUUUCUCUAGACAUUUUCCCAGAACUGCAGCAUCCAGUAUUGACAUGUUUGUACUUCUUAAACCAUGAGGAGUCGUUGGAUGAGCUGCAUCUCCAAUCAAUGCCACGUUGUCCCAAACAAUUCUAUCUAGAGGCUCCCCAUCAUAUAUGACAUUCAAGAAUGGUUGUUCUGUCUCGCGCAUCACUUUAACCAAUUCAGAAUCCCAGGUUCGUACAUGUGCCAAAGAUCAAAGAAGCAUUGGCUCGAUUCACAAACCUCAGUUUAAAGUCGGGUAAGAAGCUCUGGCGAAUUGGAGAAAGACAACCAUCAGCUGCUACCAACAAAUCACCAACAAUGUUGGUUAUAUCACCAGUUUGGACAGCUUUGCUCUUUACUUCGACAUGAGUUCUGUCUUCGGAGAUGCAAAAGGUGAGGAACAUUUGUCCCCAGCAAACAGUUUGUGCUGGUAAUGCCUCGUGGAGAAGGCUAUGCAGAUCAGACCAGUGUGCUGCUCGAAAAUUCAAGUUCUCAUCCCUUGUGAGCACACGGUUCUUGUUUCCAUCUGUUGCUUCAUUCUACAAUUAACACAACAUGUCAGGAUCAACAAUUCAACGACAACGCAGGUGAUUGAAUAAGUAGUGAAGUUCAUGAGAAAUUUGGUUCAAUUACUUGAUCGAUCGUGAGCGGCACAGUGUUAAGCUCGAGGAUGCCUGGUUGUUUGAGCCAUGAUCUGAGAAUUUUCUGAGCCAAAGGAUCGAGUCCGAGUCCUGCACCGGUAGCGCAACCUGCUCGAGGCGCACCUGUUU